CAUGCAAGUCGAGGGGUAACAGAGGAGCUUGCUUCUGCUGACGACCGGCGCACCGNNGCGUAACGCGUAUACAAUCUGCCUUGCACUAAGGGAUAGCCCAGAGAAAUUUGGAUUAAUACCUUAUGGUUUAUUAAGAUGGCAUCAUUUUAAUAAUAAAGAUUACGGUGUAAGAUGAGUAUGCGUACCAUUAGUUUGUUGGUAAGGUAACGGCUUACCAAGACUACGAUGGUUAGGGGCCCUGAGAGGGGGAUCCCCCACACUGGUACUGAGACACGGACCAGACUCCUACGGGAGGCAGCAGUGAGGAAUAUUGGACAAUGGAGGAGACUCUGAUCCAGCCAUGCCGCGUGCAGGAAGACGGUCCUAUGGAUUGUAAACUGCUUUUAUACAGGAAGAAUAAGGACUACGUGUAGUCUGGUGACGGUACUGUAAGAAUAAGGACCGGCUAACUCCGUGCCAGCAGCCGCGGUAAUACGGAGGGUCCGAGCGUUAUCCGGAAUUAUUGGGUUUAAAGGGUCCGUAGGCGGGCCAUUAAGUCAGGGGUGAAAGUUUGCAGCUCAACUGUAGAAUUGCCUUUGAUACUGAUGGUCUUGAAUUAUUGUGAAGUGGUUAGAAUAUGUAGUGUAGCGGUGAAAUGCAUAGAUAUUACAUAGAAUACCGAUUGCGAAGGCAGAUCACUAACAAUAUAUUGACGCUGAUGGACGAAAGCGUGGGUAGCGAACAGGAUUAGAUACCCUGGUAGUCCACGCCGUAAACGAUGGAUACUAGCUGUG
rnacentral:rRNA from 1 species